AUUUUGACAAAAGAUUUGAACAGGAAGUUACGAGCGGAAGUGUUAUUGUAGCCAUUUCGACCGUGCCACAACGAUGCCGACAGCUCUCUUUGCCACCCCUACAACGUGCUUGUUCAAGCAGCUCCUUUUCUUUCAGGUUUUGUGCUUAGAAAGAGUGACAUGAUGCAGGAUGGAGUUGUGAGGAGUUCCCGGACACGGUCAGAGAUGGCUGGAACAGUCGGAUGGAUUUGCAAUCAUGCAAUAAAUGCCCACAUAAGACGCCAUGGUCAAAUGGUUGGAGAUCGUUGAGAGUUUGCAGCUAUUGAUGAAAGUUGUUUCCUUAAUAAAAGCAAGUAUCACCACAGAAGGGCCGGUGCAACAUGGCGACGGAAAAAGUGGGUAUUAAGAAUAUUAGGAGUAGGUGACCGCCAGAAACAUCCUGUCUUGUGGCUGGUGUGGUUAAACAAGUGCGUCCGGGAACCACCGUCAUCAGUGACCAAUGGGGCACUUACAGGAGUGCAUUGACUGCGACAGGCUACAGGCACUUCACAGUGAACCACUGUCAGUAGUUUGCGGAUCCAAACACCUUGCGCGCCUCCCAGUAUGUCAACCCCAGCUUUCUCUGUGGACCAUGCAACUUGGACUUUCCGAGUUUCAUAUAGGACAAUGCAUCUUGCUCUGCAUCUGUAAACCAUGGAUUCAUCUUUUGGACAUUUUCAGGAGAAUGGCUGUGUGUGUGUGUGUGUGUGUGUGUGUGUGUGUGUGUG